rnacentral:rRNA from 1 species
CCUACGGGAGGCAGCAGUGGGGAAUAUUGCACAAUGGGGGAAACCCUGAUGCAGCGACGCCGCGUGAGUGAUGAAGUAUCUCGGUACGUAAAGCUCUAUCAGCAGGGAAGAUAAUGACGGUAUCUGACCAAGAAGCCCCGGCUAACUACGUGCCAGCAGCCGCGGUAAUACGUAGGGGGCAAGCGUUAUCCGGAUUUACUGGGUGUAAAGGGAGCGUAGACGGCAGCACAAGUCUGGAGUGAAAUCCCGGGGCUUAACCCCGGAACUGCUUUGGAAACUGUGCGGCUAGAGUGCAGGAGGGGUAAGGGGAAUUCCUGGUGUAGGGGUGAAAUGCGUAGAGAUUAAGAGGAACACCGAGGGCGAAGGCGGCUUACUAGAAUGUAACUGACGUUGAGGCUCGAAAGCGUGGGGAGCAAACAGGAUUAGAUACCCCAGUAGUC